rnacentral:rRNA from 1 species
GACACUGAGGCACGAAAGCGUGGGGAGCAAACAGGAUUAGAUACCCUGGUAGUCCACGCCGUAAACGAUGAGUACUAGCUGUCGGAGGUUACCCCCUUCGGUGGCGCAGCUAACGCAUUAAGUACUCCGCCUGGGAAGUACGCUCGCAAGAGUGUAACUCAAAGGAAUUGACGGGGACCCGCACAAGUAGCGGAGCAUGUGGUUUAAUUCGAAGCAACGCGAAGAACCUUACCUAAGCUUGACAUCCUUUUGACCGAUGCCUAAUCGCAUCUUUCCCUUCGGGGACAGAAGUGACAGGUGGUGCAUGGUUGUCGUCAGCUCGUGUCGUGAGAUGUUGGGUUAAGUCCCGCAACGAGCGCAACCCUUGCCUUUAGUUGCCAGCAUUAAGUUGGGCACUCUAGAGGGACUGCCAGGGAUAACCUGGAGGAAGGUGGGGAUGACGUCAAAUCAUCAUGCCCCUUAUGCUUAGGGCUACACACGUGCUACAAUGGGUGGUACAGAGGGCAGCCAAGUCGUGAGGCGGAGCUAAUCCCUUAAAGCCAUUCUCAGUUCGGAUUGUAGGCUGAAACUCGCCUACAUGAAGCUGGAGUUACUAGUAAUCGCAGAUCAGAAUGCUGCGGUGAAUGCGUUCCCGGGUCUUGUACACACCGCCCGUCACACCACGGGAGUUGGGGGCGCCCGAAGCCGGAUUGCUAACCUUUUGGAAGCGUCCGUCGAAGGUGAAAUCAAUAACUGGGGUGAAGUCGUAACAAGGUAACCAAUCGAAUUCCCGCGGCC